rnacentral:rRNA from 1 species
AACGAACGCUGGCGGCAUGCCUAACACAUGCAAGUCGAACGAGACCUUCGGGUCUAUUGGCGCACGGGUGCGUAACGCGUGGGAACCUGCCCUUAGGUUCGGAAUAACUCCCCGAAAGGGGUGCUAAUACCGGAUCAUGUCUUCGGCCCAAAGAUUUAUCGCCUUUGGAUGGGCCCGCGUUGGAUUAGCUAGUUGGUAGGGUAAAAGCCUACCAAGGCGACGAUCCAUAGCUGGUCUGAGAGGAUGAUCAGCCACACUGGGACUGAGACACGGCCCAGACUCCUACGGGAGGCAGCAGUGGGGAAUAUUGGACAAUGGGCGAAAGCCUGAUCCAGCAAUGCCGCGUGAGUGAUGAAGGCCUUAGGGUUGUAAAGCUCUUUUACCCGGGAUGAUAAUGACAGUACCGGGAGAAUAAGCUCCGGCUAACUCCGUG